rnacentral:rRNA from 1 species
UGGGGGAUAUUGCACAAUGGGCGAAAGCCUGAUGCAGCGACGCCGCGUGGGGGAUGAAGGCCUUCGGGUUGUAAACUUCUUUUGCUCUGAACAAGGCGCACCAUGGGGUGUGUUGAGUGUAGGGGUUGAUUAGCGCCGGCUAACUACGUGCCAGCAGCCGCGGUAAUACGUAGGGCGCGAGCGUUGUCCGGAAUUAUUGGGCGUAAAGGGCUUGUAGGUGGCUGGUUGCGUCUGUCGUGAAAGCUCAUGGCUUAACUGUGGGUUUGCGGUGGGUACGGGCUGGCUUGAGUGCAGUAGGGGAGACUGGAAUUCCUGGUGUAGCGGUGGAAUGCGCAGAUAUCAGGAGGAAUACCGGUGGCGAAGGCGAGUCUCUGGGCUGUUACUGACACUGAGGAGCGAAAGCAUGGGGAGCGAACAGG